GCCACGCCCGCUCAGAAACUCAAAGGAAUUGACGGGACCCCGCACAAGCGGUGGAUCAUGUUGUUUAAUUCGAUGAUACGCGAAGAACCUUACCAGGUCUUGACAUCCCCCGCGAUGCUUUAGAGAUAAAGCGGAGGUAUUCGGGGAGACAGGUGGUGCAUGGUUGCCGUCAGCUCGUGUCGUGAGAUGUUGGGUUAAGUCCCGCAACGAGCGCAACCCCUAUUGCUAGUUACCAUCAUUAAGUUGGGGACUCUAGCGAGACUGCCAGUGAUAAACUGGAGGAAGGUGGGGAUGACGUCAAAUCAUCAUGCCCCUUAUGACCUGGGCUACAAACGUGAUACAAUGGCUGGAACAAAGGGAUGCGAAGCAGUGAUGUGGAGCGAAACCCAUAAAAACAGUCUCAGUUCGGAUUGAAGUCUGCAACUCGACUUCAUGAAGUCGGAAUCGCUAGUAAUCGCGGAUCAGAACGCCGCGGUGAAUACGUUCUCGGGGUUU
rnacentral:rRNA from 1 species